UGCAGCAGCGGCAGCGAGAGGAGCAGGAGCGGGUGCAGCAGAGGGAGAUGUAUGGUAGGAGCUGUGGGGCGAAGGGGAAUCCCUAAAAUGGCUGGAAUCACGAGACUGGCUCCCCGUAACACCACGACCACGACGCUGUCGAGGCCGGGUCUGAUCAUCAUGAGACCUGUAAAUUAAAAAAAAAAAUAUUUAAUAAAUAUAGAAAUAUAUAAAUGGGCAAAUCUCCAAAAUAGCACAUUUCUAAGUUUAUAUCACAAAAAUAGCACUCAAAAACUAAAAUGACCAAAAUAGCACCUUUCUAAGUUUAUCCUUUGAAAAUUUUAAUUUUUUUAUUUUUCAAAAUUUGAAAUCUUAUCCCCAAAACCUCAUUUCUCAACUCUAACCCCUAAACCCUAAACUCUAAACCCUAAACCCUAAACUCAAAACCCUAAACCCUAAACCAUGAACUCUAAACCCUAAACCCUAAACUCUAAACCCUAAACCCUAAACCCUAAACCCUAAACCCUACAAUCUAAACCCUAAACUCUAAACCCUAAACCCUAAAUCCUAAACCCCACC
rnacentral:lncRNA from 1 species